AUGUCAGCUGCAAACAUCUUCAUCAAACCCAUUAAUUCCUUCGAAUCAUAUCCUAAAAGAUUUAUCUGUACAUCAUCGAACAAAAGCUUUGACCAAAAAUCGACUAGUUUGUCCGGCGAUCCUCGGCCCCUAACCUGGGGUCAGUGGUUUAUUAUAAACAGUGUGAGACGGCGUGGUUGAGGCUCGGCCCCGAAAAUGCAGCUGGAAUCUGGGAAGCGCGAGCAGCCGACAUUUCACACUGACACAUCGGUGCGCGCGCGCGUGAGAGAGAGAGCGAGAGCGAGCGAGCUGCUGCUGCGCGAUAGCCGCGCGAGCUCCGCACAGUUGAUAUAAAAGGCGGCGGGGGAGAGACGGAGACGGCGGCAGACGACGGAGCGGAACGGGGGGAGAGAAGAUCUCGCUCCCCCCCCCAAAAAAGUCGUCUUCUGUAAUCCGGUGGGCCGCGUAACGGAGGCGCGCGUGUACUUUAGUAUUAAAACCGCCUCUUUGUCCUCUUUGUGUGGUUUUAGCAGAGCAGAAGUGCGGGUGAGGAGAGACACAGAGAGACACAGAGAGACAGCGAGGAACACUUGGCGCACAACCGGAGGCGAGCCCGGGACUCCCAUACGUGCAGUGACGGUCCACCUGGCAGCAUGUGACUAUAUUACUGCACCGGAUUGAAAAAAGGGCACAACGAACAGUGAAAUCCAGGCACAGUGACUAAAAAAGUGUGACGGGAACUAAGAAGUGGGAGAAAGUCUAUUAAGAAGGACUUACAGCUCUUCUUGAAACAGUUCUACAUAACGGUCACAUGUUCUCACAGUUAUGGGUAAAUUCCUGCACAAUUUAAGACAGAGUCUGAGACUGUGGAAUUAAGAUCACUGAAAUCACAGGAGGAAGACAAUCAAACUAACUAAGAAUUUCUGAUGCCAUUGCAUGCUGUCCUUGUUCCUUAUGAAAUGGUCACAUCAGCCUGCCCCACUGAUGACACAACUGCACACCUCCAGGAGAACACAACUAGUCAGCACACUAACUUACAUGAUCAUUCAUGUUAUUGCUACAUACUGCUAAGUGACAGUUUUGAAUAAAGAACAUCUCUGAUUACUCUGUAAGGUAAACAGCUAACCAUAUGUAGGUUCUGCAAUGUUUUAUCACCUAAUGUCACUGUAGUAUAGAUGACAGUUUGCAGGUUGCUCAGGAGCUCCUCAAUUGCUCAGUAGUCAGUGUAGGUCCUGUCUGCCUGUCAGCAGCUACAUCUGGCUACUGGGUCUCUAAUGGGCUUCAUUCUUCAAUGAAAUGUACAGUAUUUACAUGAACCAAACAGAAGUCUCACACACCAAUGAAUGGCAAUAGCUUCUAUCUGCCAAAUGAAUUGAGUGAUAAUGGAAGCAUGAUAAAAGAAGAAUUAUGUCAGAGAACUGUAAUUCUGUAAAUAAUGUAAAUUGAACUGUUUGGCAGGAGUAGUGGUGCAAAAGGAGAGUUUGAGUGCAGAAUAAAAAAAGAAAAUCCAUUCAGAGAUGGUUUUGUACCUGGCAUGCAGUGUAGAUAUCUGUGUCGGUAAACAUACAGCUACAUUGUCUGCUGGGUUUCAGAUCCAUCUUGGAAGCAUCUUGUUUAAUCAUGUUUGGUGCCUGUGUACCGCUCGGAAUCAUGAACAUUUGUUGAUGAUUCAUGAACAUGUGUUGAAUUCAAAUAAACUAAUUUCUUUGAGUGUUUUUUAA